rnacentral:rRNA from 1 species
UCAGGCCUAACACAUGCAAGUCGAGCGCGCCUUCGGGCGAGCGGCGGACGGGUUAGUAACGCGUGGGAACGUGCCCAGAUCUACGGAAUAGCCACUGGAAACGGUGAGUAAUACCGUAUACGCCCUUCGGGGGAAAGAUUUAUCGGAUUUGGAUCGGCCCGCGUUAGAUUAGGUAGUUGGUGGGGUAACGGCCUACCAAGCCUACGAUCUAUAGCUGGUUUUAGAGGAUGAUCAGCAACACUGGGACUGAGACACGGCCCAGACUCCUACGGGAGGCAGCAGUGGGGAAUCUUGGACAAUGGGGGCAACCCUGAUCCAGCCAUGCCGCGUGAGUGAAGAAGGCCCUAGGGUCGUAAAACUCUUUCGCCUGUGAUGAUAAUGACAGUAGCAGGUAAAGAAACCCCGGCUAACUCCGUGCCAGCAGCCGCGGUAAUACGGAGGGGGUUAGCGUUGUUCGGAAUUACUGGGCGUAAAGCGCACGUAGGCGGAUUAGAAAGUUAGAGGUGAAAUCCCGGGGCUCAACCCCGGAACUGCCUUUAAAACUACUAGUCUAGAGUUCGAGAGAGGUGAGUGGAAUUCCGAGUGUAGAGGUGAAAUUCGUAGAUAUUCGGAGGAACACCAGUGGCGAAGGCGGCUCACUGGCUCGAUACUGACGCUGAGGUGCGAAAGUGUGGGGAGCAAACAGGAUUAGAUACCCUGG